AGAUGAUAGAUAGAGAGUAAUCUAGUAAAUACUACAAGCUGACUGCAGCAUGAUUUCCUCAUUCCCUCCAGCUAAACAGUAAAUGUAAUGCUGCCUCUUAUAUCUAAGGGGGGAAAGGCUCAUUACCAGCCGUGUGAGGACAUGCUGAUGUGCAGGGGUUAAUCCAAGUACUCCCUGUCCUGACUGAGUUCUGAGCAAGUUCAGCACAACAGUGCUAAGCGACAAACUGAAAAUAGAUAAGGACUCUGAGGCCUUUGUUAAGGCAACAGGGGCAAGCUGGAGAGCAAAGAGGGAACUUGGAAGUGCAAUGGAAGCACUUGCAGCAUCAAAAAGACAAUACAGGCACCUAUGGUGACCUAAGGCUUCAAGUCUGGGGAAACCAGUAGCAGCACCAUCCUCAACACUAUGGCAGUAGGAGCAACCAUCACAGGUGUUCCCAAACCUGUCAGUCUACUGGCCUAUGGAUACCUAUUAUAGUGGGCACAGUCAAGCCCAUGGCAGCCACAAUCUCCACGUCAGUGGGGAUGGAGACUCAGACAAGAUGGGAAUAACUAAGGCAGAGUGAGAGGAAAUUACAGAGGAGGCAUCAUGUGAGAAUGGACAUCUGAAUCGAGACAAUCAUCAGUUUGUUUUGACUGUCAAAGAAGUGGACAAAAGAAACAGGACAGGGAGAGGGAGGAGACACCUAGGCACUGAAGGAUGAGCCCAACGAGCAUGCCUUCCUCUUCCCUUGUGAAAUAGCAUAGUUUUAAGGAGGCCUAGAGAAUUCUACAAGAGAAGGUGUAUACCAAUACUAUCAAAGGGAGUUGAUGAGGAAACCAUGAUGAGGGACUAUCUUAUGGGUGAGCCCACCUGAUACCCAGCGAUGCCCUGACUAGGUACAGAGAAGGUAGUUAAGACAUCUCAGGGAUAGGUGGUGGUGUAAGUAGGUAAGACUAACUUGACUAUGUCCUAGGGACUGUUACAUAUUAAAAUAUUACCUCUAGAUCAUGGGAGUUCCCUAGUGGUCACUCACACUCAACAAGUCUAAGGAAUAGAAUGAUUUAGCUUUAAUGGGAAAAA